UCGAGCGGGGGAAGCGGCCGUUAGGACCGUGGUGUUGUGCGGCCGCGGGGCAGGCUCCCGUCACUGGUCACCGCCGCCUCCCCUGGUGCAGCUGCUGUGUCACGGCCACGCCGCCCGGCUGCACAGCGCCAGGAGCCGGGUCUGGAGGCGGCUGGGGUUAAGGGCCUGCUUGGGGACUCGUCCGCCGCCUGGGUGGUGGAGUCCUACUCCAUGACGAUGGGGCGGCCACCUUGAAGGUACUGGGCCCGGGACGGGAAAGAAAAGACGCGAGAUCUUCUUUUGGAGGACCGCAAGGAGACUUGUCCUCCUGUCAAUCAGAGCUCCCCUAUCUGAAAGCGGAAGGUGGACCAUGAGCUUCGGAAGUUGCUGUUGCUCCCCUCUCUCAGAAUUAAGAUUGAGCUUCAGCCCAGACUGCGACUUCCUUCUUCUGUCUAACGUCUAAUCAUACCUGCUCACUCAGCAGUAUCCCACUGUUGUGCAAAAUGUUAACUCAAAUGUGAAGUUCUCCAAAAUUCAUAACUCCUCUCCAUGGGUCCAGAAAAAGAAAAUGUCGUCAAUGUACUUGGUGUAGUAUCAGUUGGACUCCUGCGUAUAGAGGAGGUCUUGUUUGAACCUCUGCAUGAAAAUGUUGGUAUGUUAACAUACAAAUUUGGUCCCCGUGGCUGUUCCAUGUGUCUGGAUGAAUAACUGAUUGUCAAAGGUGAAGACGUUGCGAUCGAGGAUAAAGCAAAUGAGUUGUAGGGCGGUUCUUCGAGAUUGGCAGUUCUUGGGUUUGAGUACUGAGGCUGUUGCCAUGAUGCCAUCAUUGUGGGGGAUGCUGGUGUAGAGUGCUGAAAUGAACAUUGUGACGAGGAAUGUUCCGAUUUGACUGGUCCAUGGUGCUGAGUUUCUGUAAGAAAUCUGUAGCCUUCAAUGUAGCUGGAGAGGUUCUCACACAGAGUCCCAUUGCCAGGGAUGUGCAAGUCAGGAUGGAUUAGCCAUGGGAAAUAGAGUAAGGGGGUGGCUCUUCAGAGAGCCAGAGUGGAAUGGAUGGGCCGAAUAGCUUGCUUCCACAUUGUCAAGAGUCUAUGACUCUUUUCCCCCCCACCCCCCUCAAACAAAGGAACGUUUUAUUUGCAUCUACCCUGUCAUGUCCCUUUCAGAAUUCUACUGGUUUCAAUCAGGUCACUUCUGCUUCAUAGAGGUAUACAGCACAGAGACAGACCCUUCACUCCAACUAGUCCAACCAGGAUUCCCAGACUAAACUAGUCCCACUUGCCUGCAUUUGGCACAUAUCCCUCUAAACCUUUCUAUUUUUUUCCCUUCCAAAUGUUGUUUAAAUGCUCUAACUUGUAUCUGCAUCUACCACAUCCUCAGCAAGGAACAUUGGGAGGUUUAGGGAAACCACCUUCGCAUGAAUAGUUCCAACAGUGAGAAAAUUUCAGCCCUAAAGUUAGAUUGGAGAAAGCUGAGACAAGAUUUAAAUGAAGUUUUGAAAAUCACGAGGGGUCUACCCAGAACAGACAAACUGUUCACCAUGGUGAAAGAAUUGAGAAUGAGUAUGCAGAUUUCAAAUACAUGACAAGGAAGAAAAUGGGAUGAUAGGAAGAAAUUUCUGAGUAACUAGAUCUGGAAUGCAUUGCAUGGAACAGUAGUUUAAGCAGGUUCAAUUAAGGGCAUUGGAUAAUUAUUUGAUUACAAGCAAUGUACAAGCUUCCAAGGAAAAGUCAGGAAAAUGGUACCAGGUCAGAAAGGUCAUUGAGAACUGAAGGACACAGUGGGCUGAAUGGCCUGCUUCUGUGCUUCAGUAGUUCAAUGGUUCAUAAUUGCUCAUCGGAUGUCAGUCAGUUAUGAACAUCAGGCUAGCAUCUGCUAUUUUGUAUGGUCAGUCAGGGAGAAUCAGUCAGAUCCAUGUUUUAUAAUGAUUUAUGAUUAGGAUAAGGAUCCCAGGUAUUCACAAUAUAUGCCAAUGAUUUAGAUGAGAGAACUAAUUGGAAAUAUUCCAAUGUGCAGACGACACAAAGCUGGGUGGAAGGGUGAGCUGUGAAGAGGAUGCAAUGUUAUUUGGACAAGCUGAGUGAGUGGGCAAAUGUAUAAUAGGUGCAGAUUAGUGUGGAUCAAUGUGAGGUGAUCCACUUUGGUAGCAAAAAUAGAAAGGCAGAUGAUUUGAAUAAUAAAUUUGUAACCUCUGAGAUGGGAAUGUUCACCAAGAACUCAUUCAAGAUGGAGAACGGGAAAGCAUUGUGGCUGGAAGAGCUGCUGUGUCUUUGAGGUAUUUUGGGUGUAGGAGGUGAUUUCCUCUAAUUCCAGGAACAGCAAUUACUGGUUUAUGUGAUGUUGAGUUGUUCUGAAACAUUUGGGGGAGAAAAAAAUUAAAACAAGACCCUUUUAAAAUGAAGCAAGGCAGACAAAGGCAGCAAGCACAAAGCCAGUGAGGGAAAGAGAGAAAGAAGCCUACACUGCUAACUGACACAACAGUGAAUCUGUGUAGUUACUGCGUUUGCUAUUUUAAUUCACGUACCUCUGGACAUCGGUGUACGCCUCAGAAAAAUUAACAAACAGCGAAAUUCACAGCUGGUCUUGGGGGAACCAGUGUGGGAGAGCUCUUAGCACAGGAACAGAUAAUUGUAUAGUUUUUAAUGUGUAACCUUGCUGUAAGUCUACAGUAGAGUGUAGAGUGGGUUCUUUCUUGAUUAUAUGUUUUACUGAAAUCUGUCUCGAUUAAAUUUUGAAAAUAUAAACUAUAAGUACUAAGUUAGCCUGGAGCACAUUAAAGAGCAAAAAGACGGUGCUAUUUUCUGGUUCUGUAGAUUAUGAAUGAGCAAAGAUGGCCUUUAGUAGUGUGAUAUGGUCGUAUUAUUAGACGUGGGAGAUGAGGGAUAGUUUCCGUGUUACUGAGGAUUAUGUCUACACAAAGUGUUCUUGGUUGCGAAUCUCAUCAGAUCGAAUGGGUUAGUUGGAGCGAUGGUAGAGGCAAUUUGGAGUUUACAAGAACUAGGAAGAGAGAAAAGCCGCAAUCAGAUGGAUAGGGUAACUCCGGAAAAAGUAGGAAAGGUGGACAGGUAGUGCAGGAGUCUUCUGUGGCGAUCCCAUUUCAAGCACUUGGGCUGUUUUGAAAAAUGUAGGGGGGUGAUGGACUCUCUGGAACGUAGCACGAACAGCCAAGUUUCUGGUAUUGAAACAGGCUCUAAUGUAAUGAGGUGUAUGUCGGGUUCCAAGCGAUCGAUUGUGAUAGGGCACGGAUAGACAUUUCUGAUGCCAGCAGUGAAAAAUCAGAAUGGUGUGUUGCCUCCCUGGUGCCAGGAUCAAGGAUGUCUGAGUACAGAAUGCUCUCAAAGUGGAGAGGGACCAGCAUUGUAUACAUUGGAACCAACGACAUAGGAAGGGAAAAGGGUGAGAUUCUGAAAGGAGAAUAAAGAAAAUAGGCAGGAAACUAAAUAAGGAAGUCCUCGAGGGUCGUAAUAUCUGGGUUACUCCCAGUGCUUUGAGUUAGUGAGGGUAGGAAUAGGAGGAUAGGGCAGAUGAAUAUGGCUGAGGAGCUUGUGCGGGGGAGAAGGGUUCACAUUUUUAGAUCUUUGGAAUCUCUUCUGGAGUAGAAGUGACUUGUGAAAGGACAGACUGCACCUGAAUUGGAAGGGCACUAAUAUAUUGGCAGGAAAACUUGCGAGAGCUGCUUGGGUGGUGUUAAACCAUUAAGGUGAGGAAAGAGAUCAAUCUGAGACUGGUACAGUUGGGAAAAUGAAUCAGUCUAACAGUCAGGGUAGGUAGGGACAAAGCAGAGAACAAGUUAGGAUUGGUAAGUAAAACUGCAUUUACUUCAAAGCAAGAAGCCUAACCUGGGAUGCAGAUUAACUCGGGGCAAGCGAUAUCAUAGCAAUUAUAGGAACAUGGCUCAGGAAUGGACAAGACUGGCAGGUUAAGGUUCCAAGAUACAAAUGCUAUAGGGAGGAUAGAAAGAUGGUAUUACAGCUGUACUUAGGGAGGAUAUUCCAGGGAAUACAUCCAGGGAAGAUAUUUGGGUGGAACUGAGCAAUAAGAAAGGGAUAAUUACCUUAUUGGGAUUGUAUUAUAGACCACCUAAGAAUCAGUGGGAAAUUGAGAAACAAAUUCAUAAGGACAUUUCAGUUAUUGUUAAGAAUAAUGUGGUUAUGGUAGGGGAAUUUUAUCAUCUUUGCCCUCUCACCCUAAACUAAAAUCCUCCGGUUCUGGACUCCCCCACCCAAGAAAAAGACUUUGUCUAAUUUACCCUAUCCAUGCCACUCACGAUUUUCUAAACCUCUACAAAGUCAUCCCUCAGUCUCUGACACUCCAGAGGAAACAGUUCAGCCUCCACCCUGGAAACAUCCUUGUAAAUCUUUUCUGAACGCUUUCGAGUUUCACAACAUUCUUCUAAUACGAAGGAGACCAGAACUGCAUGCAAUAUUCCAAAAGUGGCCUAACCAAGAUCCUGUACAGCCACACCAUGACUUCCCAACUCCUAUUCUCAAUGCUCAGACCAAUAAAGGAAAGCAUACCAAAUGCUGCCUUCACUAUCCUAUCCAUCUGCGACUCUACUUUCAAGGAGCUAUGAACUUGCACUCCAAGGUCUCUUUGUUCCCCAGGAUCUUACCAUUAAGUGUAUAAGUCCUGCUCUGAUUUGCUUUUACAAAGUGCAACACCUCCCAUUUCUCUAAAUUAAACCCUAUUUGCGACUCCUCAGCCAUCGGCCCAGCUGAUCGAGAGCCCAUUGUAAAUCUCAGGUAACCUUCCUUGCUGUCCGCUACACCCCCAAUUUUUGUGUCAUCAGCAAACUUACUAACUAUAACUCCUAUGUUCAUAUCAAAAUAACUUAUAUAAACGAUGAAAAGUAAUGAAUUCGGCACUGAUUCUUAUGGCACUCCACUGGGCAUAGGCCUCCAGUCUGAAAAUCUACCCUCCACUACCACCCUCUGUCUUCUACCUUCAAGCUAGUUCUGUAUCCAAAUGGCUAGUUCUCCUUGUAUUCCAUGAUGUCUAACCUCAAACACCUUACUGAACUCCAUAUAGAUCAUGUCAACCACUCUACCCUCAUCAAUUGUUUUCGUUACUUCUUCAAAAUACUCGAUCAAGUUUGUGAGACAUGAUUUCCCCCCCACAAAGCCAUGUUGACUAUCCCCAAUUUGUCCUUGCCUGUCCAAAUACGUGUAAAACCUGUCCUGUGGAUUUAUCCACCUUUAUGGGUUUCAAGACAUCCAACAUGUCCUAAUCUGUAAUUUGGACAUUUUUCAAGAUAUCAUCAUCUAUUCCCCUACAUUCAUGGCACAGUGGCUUAGUGGUUAACACUGCUGCCUCACAGCACCAGAGUCCCAGGUUUGAUUCCAGGCUCAGGACUCCCUCCAACAACUUGCCCACCACUGACAUCAGGCUCAUCGGUCUCUGGCUUAUCCUUACCACCUUUAUUAAAAGGCACCAUAUUAAUACCUGACCUGUGACUGUUGAUGAUACAAAUAUCUCAGCAAGGGGUCCAACAAUCACUUCCCUAGCUUCUCAGAGUUCUGGGGUAUCUGUCCAAAGGCCAAUAGGUGAAUAAAAGGUAAAGCCAUAAUUUUUCCCCUUGUGGCUUGACAUAGCCACGCAUGCUCCUCGCUAUUUUUGCUAAUCUCCUUUCCUACACCUCAUGAUUUUGCAUAUCUCAAUAAGGUCACUCCACUGGGCACAGGCCUCAACCUCCUCCGCUCCAGUGAAAGAAGUCCUAGCCUCUCCUUUAUAACUCAAACCCUCCAGUCCUGGCACAUCUUUUCCAAACCCCGUCCAAUAUUAUUCUUCCUCUGAAGGACAAACUAUGUACCUGAACCUCUGCCAGAUCUCUCUGUUCUAUAACAUGACCCAGGGCCCAUUAACUGUACAAGUCCUACACUACUUUGUUUUAGCAAAAUGCAAGCCCUUGCUUUUAUCCAUACCCCUCUCACAUACGCACACUGUCAGACACACACACACACACACACACACACACACACACACACAUCCUCUUCUCUUUCACCCCGCCCCCAAAACCCUCGACCUCUAAGGCUUGUACUCGAACAAACUCACUUUACCAAACUCUCUUACAUGCACUCUGAUGCACAAACUCACAUGCACGCACACAUACAUAAGUCUAUGGGGUGAAUUGGCAUUUGCUGAAUUAUAUUUGCAGAUACAUGCAAUUUCGCUCAAAUAGCACACAAUAUGCAGGCAGCCAAUCCAUGUAGUAUGUUAUAAGCUCCUACUUUGGGAGUGGAACCGGUCUGAUUCGGGAUUAGGAUGCAUGCGGACUCAAGUCUCACCUGUCAUGCAUCGUCUCAGCUGAGAUGUCACCUACUUUUAUUAGCACCUUAAGUCAUCACGAGAAUGUGAUUUAAAAGAAAUUCUGAAAUUUAUAUAUUAAGGAAACCUGCAACCAAUUUGAAAAGAUGAAAGACUUAACAGCAAUCUAGGUUUGUUCAAUGUAUCCUAUCAGUUGCAUAAUACAGUGAUCUUUUGCUAUAAAAUCUGUGUCUUAUGAUCCUGCUCCACAGGUGCCUGAAGGAACAGUUGUGCUCCAAAAGCUUGUGUUUCCA